rnacentral:lncRNA from 1 species
CUCAAACCACUCGAUCAUCAAAACAAGGUUGCCUUACAAGAAAAGAAAUUACAAGAGGGGGAGGAAUUGCAUUGGGGCUGUCAUAGACUUGGCCGGGUCCCAUGACCCAACUCCUUCACAUGGAUGAGGUAGGUCGUGCACGUGGCGCAGGAGCGGGUGCCAGCGAUUGCGUAUGGGGACGAUUUCCCCUUCUGUGCUAAGUAAGCUGGGACCGCUGGCGUGCGCCUAAAGUGACUCCCAAAGGUUUCUCGUUUGGUGAAAGGAGAAUAAAGCAGGAGACAAUGCAGGACGUGGAUCAUCCCCGAGCCCACCAGCACGUCAUGAAGAGAAGCUUUUGCAGGCGAAGACUACCUUUGUGAGGGCAGACUACAGUCAUAUCCCCGUUCGAAAAUGGCCGUUGUGGCAACCCAUCCCACCAAUGAUUUUCAGGGGAAGAGGACCAUGGUCAGUAUAUAGGAGAGGCCCGAUCUCUGUAGAAGGGGAUCGAACCUCAUCCCUGGGCUAGGGCAAGAACCCACCUUUGUACUUGUCUUCCACCUCAAGCAAU